CGCCGUUUGGUUUAGUGGAUAAAAUAUCUCGUUGCCAACGAGGAUGCCCCGGGUUCGAUUUCCCGGACGGCCG
rnacentral:tRNA from 1 species